AUACACCUGACGAGUCCCAGAUAGGACGAAACGCUCGUCGUUCAU
rnacentral:hammerhead_ribozyme from 1 species